GUCUAUGGCCAUACCACCCUGAACGUGCCUGAUCUCAUCUGAUCUUGGAAGCUAAGCAGUGUCGGGCCUGGUUAGUACUUGGAUGGGAGACCGCCUGGGAAUACUGGGUGCUGUAGGCU
rnacentral:rRNA from 1 species